rnacentral:rRNA from 1 species
CAGUCGCCGCGGUAAUACGAGGGGGGCAAGCGUUGUUCGGAAUUAUUGGGCGUAAAGGGUGCGUAGGCGGUUUGACAAGUCUUAUGUGAAAUCUUCGGGCUCAACCCGAAGCCUGCAUGGGAAACUGUCGAGCUUGAGUAUGGGAGAGGUGAGUGGAAUUUCCGGUGUAGCGGUGAAAUGCGUAGAUAUCGGAAGGAACACCUGUGGCGAAAGCGGCUCACUGGACCAUUACUGACGCUGAUGCACGAAAGCUAGGGGAGCAAACAGGAUUAGAUACCCGCGUAGUCCCUGUCUCUUAUAC